rnacentral:misc_RNA from 1 species
UUCGUCGCUGACGAGGCAUGCAGCCGCAGCCGCUUAUAUGCAAUUGCAAGGGACCAGGGCCAAACGCUCGGCGAAUUCUCCAUCGCGAGAGCGUCCGACGUCGGCCNNNNNNNNNNNNACGGCGGUUCUUGUUCGCGCCGACGGCGAGCAUGGCGCGGAAAUCGUCUCGGGUGACGGUCCUCUGUUGCAUCUUGUCAGAAGCGCUCUAAACCAAACCGGUUCGCAGAGACCGUCNAGUUUAGCCGUCAGCGGCCUACCCGGAUUGCCCCCGCAGGCACUCCCGAUUAUUGACCUGAUUGGCCUCGCCGACUACAACCCAGCGUCGAACCCGA